rnacentral:rRNA from 1 species
CCUACGGGUGGCAGCAGUAGGGAAUAUUGCACAAUGGGGGAAACCCUGAAGCAGCAACGCCGCGUGGAGGAUGACGGUUUUCGGAUUGUAAACUCCUGUUGUCAGGGAAGAUAAUGACGGUAUCUAACGAAUAAGCACCGGCUAACUACGUGCCAGCAGCCGCGGUAAUACGGAGGGUGCAAGCGUUACCCGGAUUUACUGGGCGUAAAGGGCGCGUAGGCGGGAUUGUAAGUGAGAUGUGAAAUACUAUGGCUUAACCAUAGGACUGCAUUUGAAACUGUAAUUCUAGAGUAUGGGAGAGGUGAAUGGAAUUCUUAGUGUAGGGGUAAAAUGCGUAGAGAUCAGGAGGAACACUCGUUGCGAAGGCGA